rnacentral:rRNA from 1 species
CCUACGGGAGGCAGCAGUGGGGAAUAUUGGGCAAUGGGCGCAAGCCUGACCCAGCAACGCCGCGUGAAGGAAGAAGGCUUUCGGGUUGUAAACUUCUUUUCUCAGGGACGAAGAAAGUGACGGUACCUGAGGAAUAAGCCUCGGCUAACUACGUGCCAGCAGCCGCGGUAAUACGUAGGUGGCCAGCGUUAUCCGGAUUUACUGGGUGUAAAGGGCGUGGUGGUGGGAAAGCAAGUCAGAUGUGGAAACCAUGGGCUCAACCUGUGGCCUGCCUUUGAAACUGUUUUUCUAGAGUACUGGAGAGGCAGACGGAAUUCCUAGUGUAGCGGUGAAAUGCGUAGAGAUUAGGAGGAACACCAGUGGCGAAGGCGGUCUGCUGGACAGCAACUGACGCUGAGGCGCGAAAGCGUGGGGAGCAAACAGGAUUAGAUACCCGAGUAGUC